AUGAAAUCCAAUGCUGCCGACAGUGCUUUGUGGCUACAAAGCUGUAGGCACACGAAGUGGGACUCCGUAGAGUCAGUGACAACUACCCUAGAGUUCGGGAAGCCUCUCCCACCGUGGGAACCUACUUUCCCUCCCCAAACCUGGUCUGUCCUUCUGAUUUCCCCCACCUCCUCUCCCCUCCCCUCUCUUCCCACUACUUCCACUCCUCUCCUCCUCCUCCCCUUUUUCCUGUCCUCCUCCCCUCCCCCUUUUCCUCCCCUCCCCCUCUUCCCCCUCCCCUCCCCUUCCCUCCCUCCCCUCUCCCUCCUCUCCUCCCUCCCUCCCUUGCCCUCCCUCCCCUCUUGCCCUCCCCCUCCUCCCCUUCCCCUCCCUUGUCCCCUCCCCUUCCCCUCUUGCCCUCCCCUCUCCUUCCCCUCCUCCUCCUCCUCCCCCUCCCCCUUCCCCCUCCCUUCCCUCCCCUCUCCCUCCCCCUCCUCCCUCCCUCCCCUCCUCCUCGCCCUCCCCCUCCCCUCCCCUCCUCCUCCUCCCCCUCCCCCUCCCCUCCCUCCCCUCCCCUCUUGCCCUCCCCCUCCCUCCUCCUUUCCUCCCUCUCUCCCUCCCCCUCCCCUCCUCUCCCUCUCCUCUUCCUCCCCUCCCCCUCCUCCCUCCUCUCCCCUCCCCUCUCUGCCCUCCCCUCCCCUCCUCCUUUCCCUCUCCCCCCCCUCUCCCUCCCCUCUCCUCCCUCUCUCCCCUCCCCUCCCCCCUCCCCUCUCCUCCCUCUCCCCUCUUGCCCCCUCCCCUCCUCCUCCCCGCCCCCUCUCCUCCCUCCCCUCCCUCCUCCUUCCCCUCUCCUCCUCCCCCUCUCCCUUCCUCUCCCCUCUUCCCUCCCCCUUGCCCUCCCCUCUCCUCCCUUCCCCUCCUCCCCUCCCUCCCCUCUCCUCCCCUUCCCUCCCCUCCCCUCCUCCUUCCCCCUCCCCUCCCCUCCUCCCGUCCUCCCCUCCCCUCUCCUUCCCGUCCUCCUUCCCCUCCUCUUCCUCCUCCUCCCCCCCUUCCCCUCCUCCUCCUCCUCCGUCGGCCCCUCCCCGCGCUUGGCGGGAGCUUUCCUCGCGUGACCACUCUGCGUAA
rnacentral:lncRNA from 1 species